AUUGAACGCUGGCGGAAUGCUUUACACAUGCAAGCCGAACGGCAGCACGGACUUCGGUCUGGUGGCGAGUGGCGAACGGGUGAGUAAUGUAUCGGAACGUGCCCAGUCGUGGGGGAUAACGUAGUGAAAAUUACGCUAAUACCGCAUACGAUCGAUGGAUGAAAGCGGGGGAUCGCAAGACCUCGCGCGAUUGGAGCGGCCGAUAUCAGAUUAGGUAGUUGAUGGGGUAAAGGCCCACCAAGCCAACGAUCUGUAGCUGGUCUGAGAGGACGACCAGCCACACUGGAACUGAGACACGGUCCAGACUCCUACGGGAGGCAGCAGUGGGGAAUUUUGGACAAUGGGCGAAAGCCUGAUCCAGCCAUUCCGCGUGCAGGAUGAAGGCCCUCGGGUUGUAAACUGCUUUUGUACAGAACGAAAAGGUUUCUACUAAUACUAGGAGCUCAUGACGGUACUGUAAGAAUAAGCACCGGCUAACUACGUGCCAGCCGCCGCAGUAA
rnacentral:rRNA from 1 species